CGGGGGGAGCAAGCGUUGUUCGGAUUUACUGGGCGUAAAGGGCGCGUAGGCGGCCACGACAAGUCACUUGUGAAAUCUCCGGGCUUAACUCGGAACGGUCAAGUGAUACUGUCGGGCUAGAGUGCAGAAGGGGCAACUGGAAUUCUCGGUGUAGCGGUGAAAUGCGUAGAUAUCGAGAGGAACACCUGCGGCGAAGGCGGGUUGCUGGGCUGACACUGACGCUGAGGCGCGAAAGCCAGGGGAGCGAACGGGAUUAGAUACCCCGGUAGUCCUGGCCUUAAACGAUGAAUGCUUGGCGUCUCGGGUUACAUAGUCCCGGGGUGCCGUCGCUAACGCUUUUAGCAUUCCGCCUGGGGAGUACGGUCGCAAGACUG
rnacentral:rRNA from 1 species